rnacentral:rRNA from 1 species
AGACAGAGGGUGCAAACGUUGCUCGGAAUUACUGGGCGUAAAGCGCGUGUAGGCUGAUUUGUAAGUCGGGUGUGAAAUCCCUGGGCUCAACCUAGGUACUGCAUCCGAAACUGCGAGUCUAGAGUGUUGGAGAGGGAAGCGGAAUUCCUGGUGUAGAGGUGAAAUUCGUAGAUAUCAGGAGGAACACCGGUGGCGAAGGCGGCUUCCUGGACAAUUACUGACGCUGAGACGCGAAAGCGUGGGGAGCAAACAGGAUUAGAAACCCCGGUAGUCC